rnacentral:rRNA from 1 species
GACGAACGCUGGCGGCGUGCCUAACACAUGCAAGUCGAACGGGGUGAUUUUCUUCGGAGGAUCACUUAGUGGCGAACGGGUGAGUAACGCGUGAGAAACCUGCCUUUCAGUGGGGGACAACAGUUGGAAACGACUGCUAAUACCGCAUAAUGUCAUUUGGGGGCGAUCCUUAAAUGACCAAAGCUUAAUGUGCUGAAAGAUGGUCUCGCGUCUGAUUAGCUGGAUGGCGGGGUAACGGCCCACCAUGGCGACGAUCAGUAGCCGGUCUGAGAGGAUGAACGGCCACAUUGGGACUGAGAUACGGCCCAG